rnacentral:rRNA from 1 species
UACGUAGGGGGCAAGCGUUGUCCGGAAUCAUUGGGCGUAAAGAGCGUGUAGGCGGCCAGAUAAGUCCGCUGUGAAAUCUCGAGGCUCAACUUCGAGCUGUCGGUGGAAACUGUCUGGCUAGAGUCCGGAAGAGGAGAAUGGAAUUCCUGGUGUAGCGGUGAAAUGCGCAGAUAUCAGGAAGAACACCCGUGGCGAAGGCGGUUCUCUGGGACGGUAAUGACGCUGAGACGCGAAAGCGUGGGGAGCGAACAGG